GAGUUUGAUUAUGGCUCAGAUUGAACGCUGGCGGCAUGCUUUACACAUGCAAGUCGGACGGCAGCACGGGUGCUUGCACCUGGUGGCGAGUGGCGAACGGGUGAGUAAUGCAUUGGAACGUACCGAGUAGUGGGGGAUAACUGUCCGAAAGGAUAGCUAAUACCGCAUACGACCUCAGGGUGAAAGCAGGGGACCUUAGGGCCUUGCGCUAUUUGAGCGGCCAAUGUCUGAUUAGCUGGUUGGUGGGGUAAAGGCCUACCAAGGCGACGAUCAGUAGCGGGUCUGAGAGGAUGAUCCGCCACACUGGGACUGAGACACGGCCCAGACUCCUACGGGAGGCAGCAGUGGGGAAUUUUGGACAAUGGGCGCAAGCCUGAUCCAGCCAUGCCGCGUGUCUGAAGAAGGCCUUCGGGUUGUAAAGGACUUUUGUACGGGAAGAAAAGGUUGUGGAUAAUACCCAUGACUGAUGACGGU
rnacentral:rRNA from 1 species